GAUGAAGAACGCAGCGAAAUGCGAUAAGUAAUGUGAAUUGCAGAAUUCAGUGAAUCAUCGAAUCUUUGAACGCACAUUGCGCCCGCCAGUAUUCUGGCGGGCAUGCCUGUUCGAGCGUCAUUUCAACCAUCAAGCCCCAGGCUUGUGUUGGGGACCUGCGGCUGCCGCAGGCCAUGAAAACCAGUGGCGGGCUCGCUGUCACACCGGGCGUAGUAGAUUUUAUCUCGCUCAGGGCGUGCUGCGGGUUCCGGCCGUUAAAAAGCCUUUUUUACCCAAGGUUGACCUCGGAUCAGGUAGGAAGACCCGCUGAACUUAAGCAUAUCAAUAAGCGGAGGA
rnacentral:misc_RNA from 1 species